UUUCCGUUUUCGAAUCUCCUUUUGCUUGUAAGCAAUUGGUUUUUUUCGAUUUCGGACUUUAUGCUUCUUCUACAAAUCUGGCCGCUUUCUUUUAAGAGGUGGUAAAGUGAUGGUGGUGAAAGCUCCUACUCCAACAUUUGGCAUCGUCCUCUCAUGGUUGGGAUGUUAAAUUUCCCUUGGUUACCUCAUGAAAAACCUUUUUCAAAAUGGAGGGUAAUAUAUAGUCAUGAGUCAAAGAUGAUCGAAGGUCUUUUUAAUGGAGGUGAGAAGAUUUUUGACCACCCAAGAUCUUUAUUGUAGAAGAAGCUCUAGCGGCGGUACACAAGCAUCAUCGUGAAGCCGGAAGCUGGAGGUUGAAGUGUCGUCGGCGGCGAGUUCCGGCGCACCAGAAACUGAAGCGGUGGUGCAUGACGAUAUGAUCUUCAUCUUGACACGUGUCACUGGUGUUUAUGGUUUUUACAUCUGUCUAUGUACAUGUCUAAAAUUAUCUUUGUAUUUGGGCCGAUAUAGGCCUUGUUUGUACCAACGCUUUACCCCUUUUGGAGUUUCGUUAUAAAACGAAUGACGAAAAAAAAAAAAAAAGUUUCACUCUCAUAUUACCACCAAUUAUUAUUCACUUUAUUUAAUUAAUUAGUAUUUCUUUUUGUCGUCAAACAAUAUACUUUAAAGUUUACAUUAUUAUAUUAGAGGCAUCAUACUUGUUAAACAGCAAAAUUUUUGAGGAGAAAACUGUCCAAGAAAUGUGAAUGAAGAGUAAUUUUAGAGUUUUGAUUAAUUUCCAAUGAAUUAAGAGACGAUCCUGUGUUUACUAUUUUUAAAAAAAUUACAAAAAAAACGAAAAAGAAAGAGAAAAGAAUUGUAAUUCAAAUUCGCAAAAACAAAAACGGAUCAAUGAUUACAUUUUUGGAUAUUUUUUAUAGUGUUUUAUUUUACAAAGAAAAUAAUUUUACCUUGUUUUUUUGUAUAUGUUUAUUACAUCCACAAUGUUUUACCUUGUUUUCCUGUAAUGUUUCUUGCUUCCACAAUGUUUUACAUGUUCUUUCGUAAUCUUGUUGAUUUAUUGAAUUGAAUAUUCCAGUUUUUUUUCUUUUUUUUUCUGUUUAAUCAAGGAUCAUAGCAAAUUAAAAAGGUUAUAGUUAGUCCUGUCUCUACUACCGAUCACAUUUGUGACCUUAUAAAUACUUCCUCAUUCAGAGCCAAAGAGGUUCCAUCUAAUCUAGUACACCAAAAGAUUUACCAACAGUGAAUAUAAACCAAAUGAAUUUUGUAAAGUUGGUAAUCGGUUCACAGCCCAUAACCGAUUAACAAGUCUCCCUUUUUCUUACUAUUGGUUUCUUUCAACAAUGACUAUCAAGAAUACUAGUUACUCAUAAAUUAUUCUAUAGGGGACGCUCUCAUUGCUUAUAAGUUAUAACAAGAUAAAUUCAUAUAACAGAAAUACAAAACAUAGAUCAUUAUUGCGUAAUUGUAUUGCAUUAUUUCGAGUGUAACAUACUAAUUUUUGUAUACAAAAUGAUAUUUAAAUCACACAUCACUUCAAGAGUUCUUGCUUCUUACUAGCUGCCUUAACUUCAAGAGUUCUUGCUUCUUACUAGUUGCCUUCACUUCAAGAGUUCUUACUACACCAUCUUCAACUAUACUAUAUGACCCGAGAGUCAGUAUUGAGAUGGUUUUUAUGAAAUCUAGCUCAGCAACAUCUGCGAAACACUGGCUCAGAUCAAAUGGUAACAUCCUCCCAAAAGGUAACCGGAAGCUCUGGUGAUACAGGCAUGGUCGCAACACACUGGAACUGUAACAAAAGAAGCAACAGUAAGUAUCCAAGAUUGCUAAAUUCACCAAGUGUUUUUUAUUUAUUUGUAAUGUUAGUUUACCUUGUGGUGCUUGUAUUUUUCUCUAACAGCUUGUAAAGAACCUCCUCUUCUGCUCAGAUACAAGUCAUGUAUGAUUCCAACACACUCUUGUAGAUCAGCUGCUUUGUACUUAGUGUAUUCUUCUAACAUCUGAUUCUGUUUACAUCAUAAAUGAUUAGUGUCUCAUUGAAGCAAGAGAAAUGAGGAUUCUGUAGACAGAAAAUGCUUACCCAAGGAUGUUGUUUUGGACGAAUGAUGAAUCGAGCUAGAAAGACAGCAGAAGCAGACAAUAUAGAUGGCACAAACUUCACAGCUUUGUAAUCUAAUAUACUCAAUUCUGAUAAAUAGAACGAGAGAGGCUCUAGCUGCAAGUGUGGCACCUGAAACAAAAGGGCAUCAAAAAGAGAAUAUUUAGCAAUUGACACUCUACAAGUUACAAAACAACAGAUUUUCAAAAUCUCUAUGUUUGAGCUUACAUUGAAAUCUUCUUGUGCAACUCUUGUGAAUCGUCUGCACAUUAAAAAGAACAAAAACACACACAAAAUGAGGACAAUGAACCAAUACACACCAAUAUAAGUAUUAUCACCAGAACACGAUCUAACCUUAUAAAACUAUUGAUUGUAGGCCUUCCCAAUUCAAACUGAAGGGCAAGAAGUAUAUCUGCUUCCAUCUUCACCACAUCUUGUUUCGUAAACGUAUUAUCAGUGAUGUAACAGAAAUCUUCCACUUUAGGAGGACUAAUCUCUUCAUACUUCCUACUCAUUUCAAAUAACCAAAACAAGGAAUAAUCCCAUAAGCUUCGGUCUAGCAAAAGAGAGAACAAUAACAACACUAGUAUGAUGAUCAAAAGAUGCUUACGAAGCAAUAAGCAUCGCAGAUACUCCCACGAGCUGAAGCCUCUGCUUGUUGACAGUCUUCAAGGACAAGAACCGAUCGAUGUAAGAGAUAGUGAGGUAGAGUGUCUCAGACACGAGUUUGUACUCUUCAGCAACUUCCACUAACCAAUCCACCAAAACACCUCUCAUGCUUGGUGUUACAUCUUUCUGAACCUUUUCGAUAUAAUCAGGUAAAGGUCUUUGCUUUGGCUUCACCUGGAAAUUUUUCACCAAAUCCAAAAAAGCAACAAUCUUUCAGCCUCACAUAACAAUCAAUCCUUAAAUUUUGUCCAAACCAUAUCAGAUUAUCAUAACCCACAAACCCAAAUCAUCCAAUUAUCAAUUCCCUAAAUUGGAAAUAUCUUAGAACUCUUUAUAGAUCAAACUCACUUAGAAUUGAAACUGAUCAAAGAUUUAAGUCCAAACACAGAAUAUAUACGAGAUUAUUCAGUAAAGUAGAGAUUUAUAAUUACCUCCAUUUCACGAAGAUACUCGUAGAUGUCGGUGACAUAAGGUCCACACAUCUUGGGAUCAUCAGAUCGAGAAUCGAUGUCAGAAUCUACGGCAGCUAAAGCCACCGGAGCUGACUUUCUCUGCUUCGCCGGAGCACCAAUACUCUUUCUGGGUUUCGGAAUCUCUCUUUUCCGAUUGAGAUUGGACAAGGCGGAGACGUUGGACACAUUCGGAAGCUCACCGAGAACCACUCUCUUCUUGCUGACCCUUUCUUCCUCCGUGGCCAUCGCUUUUCUUUUCGCCGCCGAUCUCGUGAUCCUCACGAAGAUCUCCUUCUCCGUCAUGGUUUAGGGAUUGAAGGGAUGACUUGAGAGAGGAAGAGUGAGAGAGAGAGAGAGAGAUCGAGAUUGAGAUUUGAUGGGAGGAAGAAGUGAGGGUGAGAGGGGGGAAGAAAAAGGGAGAGGAAAAGCGCCAUUUCUGAGGUUUUUUUGGAGUUGAAAUCCAGUUUCUGGCGCUCUCUGUGUGUGAUUUUGGGAAUUUGGGAGAUUUUGAGUUUUUUUUGUUGGAAUUUUGGAGGUACGAAAAUCUCCUGAAAUUUGUUUGGCGGGCUAAUUUUCAUGAGGUUUGUGUCCGAAUUUGUUUUGACCGGUAAGAUUUUCCGUGGUGGUUCGAUUGAAAACAUAUUUCACAUUUUAAAAUAAUUUCUCGUUUAUUUAUGGAUUUAAUUAUUUUAAAUUAAAAAGAUAAAAAAAAGUUCACGUUUAUAUUUUUCUACAAUAAAAAUAUCAAUUUUAAAAAAAAAUUAUUCAAACACUCUUGUCAAUUUUUUUUAAUUCAAAUAACUUUACUGAAUCAGUGAUACAAUUGUUUUGUUAAUCUCACCAUGGUUAACCCAAAGGCUAUAAAAAGUAUAUUUUUAUCUAUUAAAAUAUGUGAAGAGAGACAAGAUUAAUUUUUGUUUGUUGAAAUGUGAAUUUCCAUUUCAUUAAUCAAAAGAAAAAAAAUGUACAACUAAUUUAAAAUAGUUUUAUUCACAUCAAAAUUUUAAAAUAGUUUUUAUUCACAUCACAUUUUGAGUUUUUUUUGUUGGAGUCAAAUUAAAUUAGUUUUUAAAUGUACGAAAAAAAUGUGACGUUAAUUGGAUUUUUUUUUAUUCACGUCACAUUUUUUUGUCCCAAGAUCUCUUUUGUAGAAUUUUUAUAUACUAGGUGUUUAGUCCACGACUUGCGCGGGCCGAAAAAUUUCAUUAAAACCUAAAAUAAAAUUUUAUGUCAUAAAUAAAAAAUAAUUAGAUCAAGAAUUUGAUACAUACAAAAUUAAAAUAAAGCUAACCUAUGAAAGUAAUCAUUGUCUAACAUUAAAAACUUUAAAAUCAAUACUAAUAAGUGUAUGAAAUCAAUAAACACAAAUUAAAAUAAGAUUAAUAUAAAUUAUUCAUAUUUUUCUUUUUUUAUUUUUUAAUUUUUUUCUCUAUCAUUUUCUUCUUUCUUUCUUUUUUUCUUUUUUUUUUCUAUGUCUUUUUUUUUUACUUUUUAUUCUGCUGGUUUUUUUUUUCAUGUCUUCUUCUUCUCCACAUCUUUCCUUUUCCUCUCAUACAUCUUUAUUUCUNNNNNNNNNNNNNNNNNNNNNNNNNNNNNNNNNNNNNNNNNNNNNNNNNNNNNNNNNNNNNNNNNNNNNNNNNNNNNNNNNNNNNNNNNNNNNNNNNNNNUUUCUGUUGAUUUUUUUGUUUUAUUUAUCUGCCCCUUCUUCUUUGUUUUAUUUUAUUGUCUUUGUCUUCUCUAAAUUCUUAUUCUUCAACAUCUUCUACUAUUCUUCUUUUGGUUUUAUUAGCCGUUUUUAUCUUCUGCUUUUUACUUCUUCUUGAUCAUUUUUGUCCUAUCCAAACAUUUUUUCUUUCUAAUUUUUGUUUGUCUUUUUCGCAUCUUUACUUUCUUCUUUUUUAUUUUCUUUUUCAUCGUCGGAUUUUCAUCUUCUUAUACUUUAUUUUCUUCAUCUACCAUUUUUGUUCUUCUUUUUCUUUCAGUUUUCUUCUUCAACUUUGAGUUCUUCAUCUCCUUAUCAUUUUUCUUCUUCACUAUUUUGUGUUACCCAUCUUGAUCUUAUCGUUCAUGGUCUAGGACUUUUUGUUCAUUUGUUCCUCAUUUUUUUUACGUUUUCGUUAACUCUAUGUUCUUCUAUAUGUUUCAAUUUAUUUUUUUCUCUUCUUUUUCUACUUUGUUUUUCCCUUUUUUUCUUUCUCUGUUUUCUUUUUCGAAUUUUUCCUCUGCGUCCUGCUAGUGUAUUUGGCUUCUCUUACAUUAUUCCAAAAAUAAACAGAAUUCAGAAAGCCAUACUUAAAACAAAAAAAAAAAACAAAAGACUUAAAACCUGUUCAUUAGACAAUGAAAAUGUUUUAUGAUAUGUUGACAUGGUUUUAAUCACGUUAAGUACGGAAGAAUAACUGAAAACACAAAACAACAACAUAUAAUCGAGGAACACUACUACUGGUACUGAAAAACGGAAAAAACAAUAGAAAAAACGGAAAAAAGAUUUAUAAAAAAUAAAGAUGGUAACAAUACAUCGAAAAACCGACCAAUGUAGAAACCAAACCACAAUUGAGCUUAAGAUACAUUUAAAAAAGUAAUAUAUUUAUAUAUAGCUCUCAACUUAAGCUAAGAUUUCCCACAUCACAUGUAUAUUUUUUUCUAGAUAAUCUUGCUCAACAGAUAAUUCGAUUGAAAUUAUCUUAAUAUUAUCAAAAUAACUAAAAUUGGCAGCAAAAUUGUUAUACAAACUACGAAAAUAAAUAAAUUAGUUAAGGAUAUUCAAAAAAGAUUUUAUUAACGAAUAAAGGGGAAUUAAUUAUCAAGAUUGAAUGAGAGACCUUAUAGCGAAAAAUUUACUUCGCAUAUAUUAUAUAUGAUAUGAUUUUAAAUGUUUUUUUGAUUAAAUUCCAAUUUUUAAAUUUUUGUUAUUUUCUAUUUUAAAUAUUUUUUGAUUAAAUUUCGAUUUUUAAUAUUUUUUAUUAAAUUUAAAUGUUUGUUUAUUAAAUUUUGAUUUUUAACAAUUUUUUAUUAAUUUAUGAUUUUUAAUAUUUUAUUUAAUUUACGAUUUUUAAUAAUUUUUUAAUUAAUUUACGAUUUUUAAUAAUUUUUUAUUAAAUUUAAUUUUAAAAAAUAUAAGGAGGGGUAAAAGGUAAUUAACCACCCUAAAAAUGAAUGAAAGAGCUUUAGCUCAAAAUUUUAUAUUGCUUAUAAUAUAUAUGAUGUAAAUCAAUUAAUUCAAAAUAUAUCAGCGUAAGUUAAAUCUAAGUUAUAAAGUAUAAUGCAAUAUUAAUAUUAAAAAUAUUUAACGUAUUUGGGGUAUUUACACAUAACCAACCAAAGUACCAAACAAUGUCUUUGAGUUUAAAAGACUUAACGUCAUAAUUGAUCUUUUUCCUCUUAUCACCAACCAAACAAUUCUCUGGAAACAGAAAUCCCUAAAAUUCACUUCAAACAAAAAUGGCAGAAACCGCCGAAACAAUCAACACCACCGUCUCACCGCCGCCGGAAUCCGAGGGCUCCACCACCACAUUGCCUUCCGCGACGGCAGACCACACAUCUGAGGAAACCUCAAAAUCCGUAGAUCUGAAGAAAGAAGAACCCGUCGCUACAGAAACUAAAUCAUCAGGAGGAGGAGGAGGCUUCUCGCUUCGCAUUUGGCCGCCGACUCAGAAAACUCGCGACGCCGUCUUGAACCGCCUGAUCGAGACGUUAUCCACCGAAUCAAUCCUCUCCAAGAGAUACGGAACGCUCACCGCCGACGAGGCGUCCUCCGUCGCGAGAUCCAUCGAGGAGGAAGCAUACGGCGUCGCAUCGAACGCCGUGUCGAGCGACGACGAUGGGAUCAAGAUCCUUGAGGUUUACUCCAAGGAGAUUAGCAAGCGGAUGCUUGAUUCCGUGAAGGAUCGAUCUGCUGCGUCCAACGCCGGAAAUGUAACGGAUUCGACGGAGGAUGCGAAGACCGAGGUUUCGAAAGACGAUGAUGCUCCUGAAUCAGUGAAGAGUGAGGCUUAAAAAGAUUUGGUGUUGUUACUCUCUCUUCUUCGUUUUAUCCUCAUCUUCUAUUAAUCUACUACCUUUUAGGGUUUGCUUUUUUCGCUAGAUUCAUAUGUGAUUCUCAGAAAUUUAUGAUGAACGAGAUCUGUUUAUUGUAAUGACUUGUGUGGAUUUGGUAUUACCUAUUUGAAGAUGUUUCUUCUUCUUCUUCUUCCUAAUAUGAAUUGUCUUCGUUUCGUUUGGUUGCUUUGGGUUCUGUCUUAAUGAUACUUAACAAUAAUGCAAUUAGCGAUAAUCAUCUUUGCAGGUAAAUUCUUUUCCUUUUGUGUUAAUGUAUAUUCAAUACUGUCAAAUCGUUGGAAUUGUUUUGUUCGAUGCUUACUCAACCACAUCAUUUGCUCUGGCUGCAUUUGUGGAUAGUAUCAUUGGGGUUUAUGUCUUUGUGGCGAAUUGUUCUGCCUUCUCUUUUAUGUGUAUUGUUUGGAUUGUUUUGCUCGAUGCUUGCUCAUCCACAUCAUUUGCUUUGGCUGCAUUCGUUGUGUACUUGUGGUUAAUAUCAUUGGGUUAUGUAUUUGUGAACGUUGGAGAGAUGUAUUUAGUUUACUUUCUUGUUCAAUUUCUAUCAACACAUUUGCGUCUUUGCUUUGGCUUGUGAGUUAGUUGCAUGUAACAUUGUCUUUUACUUUUUAAAUACUGAAGUAGUAUUGUCUUUAAACAUUGCCUACAAGUUUCUAGUGGGUCUCAUUGUCUCUUCUCUCUCUGUUAUAUAUUCAUUUAUGUUAUAUUUAAAUAAUGGCUACUGUUAAACUAAGUUAUGAAAUGUGUAGAUAUUCUUAGCUCUUGUGUUGUUGUUGUACAUAGAAUUAGAGGAUUCUUUUUCUUGCUUCUUCUCUUUUUGCUUUGAGUGGUUUACGUUCAAUAUUGUAACAGUACCUUUUUUUGCUUCUAUUCUCUUUCGAAGCGUAGGUGAGUGUAUAUUGAUGAUCUCUGCAUUUGUUUAAUCUCACCAUUUCUUUCAACAAUUUCAGUCUGCAUUUGAUUCUAUCUCUCUCUAGUCUUCUCUGAUUAAGGUUGCAAAUUUCAGUUUUUCCCUUAUUCGAUAGAGUCUUCAAGAAUUUCUUCAUCAAAUCAAGAAUCUAUAUCUCUUGUGUUAAAUUUAAUAAAAUGGUAGUUGCUUGAUUGAUAAAGUUAUGAUGUUAUUGUUGUGAGUAGAGAUAUAAGAUAUUCAUAUUGGAUGGAUCAGAAUCAUAACUCAUUUCGCUCCUGUUAAAGACAGUCAUACAAGAUCCCUUUUAACUGACUGCAACAUAUCAAAUUAUAGAAUUUCUAACAGACCAAAACCUACCCUAUAUCUCAAAAGACCACCUAUACUUUAACUGAAGAUGGUGAAUUUACGCAGUUAAUAAACAAAAAACAAUUACAUUUCCAAUCUCAGCUUGACAUCUUUCAAAAAUGUUACUUUUCACACGAUUAGUCUGUCCAAAAUACAUAUUGUUAUUUCUUACUUGCAAAGUUUCUACUUGCAAAGUGACACAAUAUAUGAUAAGUGAAACCACUUAAUUAUACAUUCAUCUACUAAAAACGAACACAUAUAGAUUAAACAAAAACAACGAAACAAUAAAAGGAAAUACUAUAUCACAUAUCGCAUUCGCCUCUUGAAUAACCUCUCUGCUUCAGAGGUAGAGUUUGCAUUUACUCUUUCCUAAAUCUUGAAAAUCCUUUGUGCUUCGAAAGUAGAGUUUGCGUUUCCUGUUGGUUUCUUGCUAAGCCUCUCUGCUUCUUCUUUUUCAUUUACUCUAGCAGUCGCUGCAGCAAACCAUCCUCGUGGAUCCUUCUUUGCGUUAUCAGAAGCACAAGAAGUCGAACAAGAAGCAUCUCUUAGUUUUUGUUUAUCAAACCAUUCUCUGAACUCCUUUGCGCUAUCAGAUUCAGAGGUUGAAGCAUCUCUCACUUUUACGUCAUCAAACCAUCCUCGUGGAUCCUUCUUUGCGCUAUAAGAUACAGAAGUUGAAGAAGAAGCAUCUUUUACUUUUUGUUUAUCGAACCAUUCUCGAAACUCCUUCGUGCUAUCAGAUUCAGAAGUUGAAGCAUGUCUCACUUUUACUUCAUCAAACCAUUCUCGUGGAUCCUUCUUUGCGUUAUCAGAAGCAGAACAAGUCGAACGAGAAGCAUCUUUUACUUUCUGUUUCUCAAACCAUUCUCGAAACUCCUUUGCGCUAUCAGAUUCAGAAGUUGAAUAAGCAUCUCUCACUUUUAGGUCAUCAAACCAUCUUCGUGGAUCCUUUGCGCUUGAAUAAGAAGCAUGAUCUCUCGCCUUUUGUCCAUAUUCUUUCGAUUUCCUCGUUUGAUCAUACGCCAUUCUCUUAGAAUGAUCAGAUAACAGAAAAAAAGCAUCUGAAACCAGAACAAACGCGCCUUCCGCGCCAUGAAACUUGUUCUUGUCUGGAUGAAGCAAAAGAGCCAACUUCUUGUACUGUUUCUUCAAUUUUCUAUCGUCAGCUAAAGGAUCUACACCGAGGAUUCCAUACCAAUCGGCUCCGUUGCUCUGGUUUGAUGCAGAGAUAUAAACAUCUAUUAUCGUCAUAACUUGUUUCAGACCAUCGAGCGCUGGAUACAUAUCUUGAGCCUUGUUAACGAAUUUUUUCGCUCCAUUGUAAUCGUUCUUGGAGAGUUUCCUCUGUGCAAUAUCCAUUGCUCUUCGAGCUUCUUCCUUAUUACAUUCCAUUGUCGCUGAGAAAGUAAAGUUUUAUCUUGUCUUCAGAAAACAAUCGAGAACCAACAGAGAAGAAAUACGUUCAGAGAGGACAGAACCAAAACCCUAGAGAGUAGAGACGAAAACGAAAGAAGAGGGUCUAGGAGAAUAAUACGACUUGCAAAAAUCACUGUGUUAAAUAAGCGAUUUGCAGAUGCUGAUUUUCCUUUUUUACGAAAAAGGAAAUCGGGAGUCGAUAAAAGGAAAUUUAGGAAACCAAAUCCUUUUCACACGCAACUGUCCGAUAAAAGUUUGGUUUUAUCAAUUUCGGUUCGGGUUAGCCAGUUCAAUAUCGGUUCUGAAAUAAGAAAAAAAAAAACACACCUACUGAAAUAAAAAACAACCAUUAAAUAAAGCAACAUUCUAAAACAUUACACAAAGCCUCUUCUACCUCAGUUAUUCCAAGAGUUCGUUUAUCAGUUUGUUCUUUAGAGCCUCUUCUACCUCAGUUAGCGAUUCUUUUUUUCCUAGAAGAAACUCUAGUAACCUCUUGUUUGAUAACUUGUUCCUCAACUCCAUGUCUUUGGCCUUCAUUUCCAAUAUACCUCCUAUAUCCACAACCGGCUUCCCUUUCUCGUUACCAGCGGUUGGCUUCUUAGCCUUGGCUUUCGCAGCCUUGACACCGAUUGGACGUGCCUCCGGAACUUCCUCUUCAAGAUUGAUGGUCGAUGGCUCAUCCGAAGACUCACACGUCUUUCUCCUUUUAGCCUUGUCAAUAUCCUUUGUUAAAGACUCAGAGCACCAUUUCUGAUCAUGGCGUAGCUCGCGCCAUGCGUGAUCAAGCGUGAACUUGACACCAUGAUCGUUGAAGAAAAUAUCAUGUGCAGCCUUCAUUAUAUCAUUCUCGCUCUGUCCACUUCUUUGAUCCUUCAAUGCGGCUUCAUAACAGCCCACAAAUUUGCAGACCUGAUCGUUCAGCCUCCCCCAACGUUGCUUGCAAGUACUUUUUGGUUUAGAAUUUUCCCCAGUCAGUCCUAGAGUAUUAUUGAAAUACUCUUGUAUCCUAAACCAAAAAGCACCGGCUUUUUGCUCAUUACCCACCACGGGGUCUUUGCUGGUGUUCAACCACGCAGAGAUGAGCACCACGUCCUCCUUCGGUGUCCAAAGCCUCCUUCGGUGUCCACUUCGGUUUCCAUCUUCACCAGUUAAGUUUGGAUCAUCAGAACCCUGGCUACUAAACCGAGGGAUUUCUGAUGAUCCAAGGUCAAUUGUUUCAGGAAAAGUGUAAGAUUUGUCUUGUUGUGAGGUUAGGAGGUUUACAAAUGAAGUAGGUGAAUCCAUAUGGUUGGCUUCGGGUUUAGAGAAUUGAAAGAGGAAGAAAGUUUGGAGAAGUGCUUUCUGAAUCGAAUGAAUAAUAAGGUUUGGAGAAGUGGUUACUGAAUCGAAAGAGGAAGAAAGGAAAAAAAGUUUUGGAGAAUUGGUUAGUGAAUCGUUCUAAAGAGUAGUGUUGUUUUAAGAGUAAAAGACAUGUGUUUAGAGUGAUUUGUUUUUUCAGUAGCAAAGCUAACAAGUUUAUAGUUGGUUUAAGUUUGUUAUUCAAUAUUUUUAAAAGUUUUUAAAAGUUUUUAUGAGUUAAAGAAGUUAAAGCAAUCACCAUAACUAUUCACCAACAAAAUGUACUAUUGUGUUUACUCGUUAACUACUUUGCCAACUGUAUUACUUCAUAUUAAAAGCUGUCUAUAAGGGAUCACCAGACGUUUACCAACUAAAGUAAACCAACACUCAUCACUAAGCCAUUCACGCAGACUAGUAAAACAAUCUUAAAUCUAACUAUAGAAGAGGGCUGACCUUAUGAGGAGUUUGAUUGGUGACAGAGCUUUAAAACCUCCACCUUGUAUAACCAUCCAUAUCACGAAAGUUCCUCCAUUAAAUCAUGCAAAAAGAAAAAAAAAACAUAUAAGGUCCUCAUAGAAAAUCACCAAAAUAAGUAAACCAUUUCAGUCACACAUCACACCCUAACUCGAUCAUAAAAGCUCUUUAUCAGGCAUCACCAGACGUUUACCAACUAAAGUAAACCAGCAUUCAUCACUAAGCCAUUCACGCAGAGUUCUUAAAAGUAAAACUAACUAUAAGCUAACUAUAGAAGAUUUCAAUCACACAUCAAACCCUAACUCGAUCAUAAAUGAAGCAAUGAGUAGAAGAGAUGAGCAAACAAACGAGUACAUACUCCAUGAACAGAACAGACGAGUAGAAGAGAUGAGUAAACAAAACCAAUUAAACUAAAGAGAACAAUUAACAAUUCCCGAAAACAAAAAAUAUCCAAUCGAAAAAUAUCCAAACUAAAGAGAACAAUUAACAGAUGAAUGCUUCACCACAUAUGAAUCAAAAAAUGCUAAAGACAAUCAUAUUCAUACGACGAAUCAAAGCAGAGCCCCAAACUAAACUCAUUCAAAUUGAUUGUAUCUUUUUUAUACAUAAGACAAAUGAUAUACAAAACCCGGAUCGAAAUAUGCUACAGAAAUCGUAUAACAAUAACUCACACACACACUAAACUCAUUCAAUCAACCUACUUUGAUUCCUACCAAUUUUCCCCAAAUUUUCCCCAAAUUAGCAAACCCUAAUUUCAACCACGCAGACCCAAAUUCUAUAACAAAUAAAUAAAGCAGAGAGAUUACCUUCAAAGACGCGAAUCGAUAAACCGAAAUUGAUCUCGCCGGUGUCGAAAGCGCAGGUCUCGCCGAUUCUGGGUUGAAUAUGUGGAAAUCGCCGGUGGUGAAGAGAACACGAAGGAGAGAAAAUGAGAGAUGGUGGUCGAGAAUGAGAAAAUUGUUUCCCGACAAUUUUUUUACCCAGGCGAAUAAGAAUGUGACACCUGUCCAUGAACCUCUCAAAAA
rnacentral:lncRNA from 1 species